GAUGAUGUGUCACUCAUAUA
rnacentral:siRNA from 1 species